CCUACGGGAGGCAGCAGUGAGGAAUAUUGGUCAAUGGACGAGAGUCUGAACCAGCCAAGUAGCGUGAAGGAUGACUGCCCUAUGGGUUGUAAACUUCUUUUAUGUGGGAAUAAAAUGUUCCACGUGUGGGAUUUUGUAUGUACCAUAUGAAUAAGGAUCGGCUAACUCCGUGCCAGCAGCCGCGGUAAUACGGAGGAUCCGAGCGUUAUCCGGAUUUAUUGGGUUUAAAGGGAGCGUAGGUGGAUUGUUAAGUCAGUUGUGAAAGUUUGCGGCUCAACCGUAAAAUUGCAGUUGAAACUGGCAGUCUUGAGUACAGUAGAGGUGGGCGGAAUUCGUGGUGUAGCGGUGAAAUGCUUAGAUAUCACGAAGAACUCCGAUUCGAAGGCAGUUCACUGGACUGCAACUGACACUGAGGCUCGAAAGUGUGGGUAUCAAACAGGAUUAGAUACCCGAGUAGUC
rnacentral:rRNA from 1 species